CGAUCUGUCCACUCUCUCUCUGUUUUCCCAACUGCUUCAUUUUUUGUGGAGUCGCUGUAUGGCGAGGAGUGCAUCUCUCUUUCUCCUUCGUUAAACCAUUUUUCGGUGACCGGCAACCAUUGUUCCUCGAUAUUCUUCGCAACUAGAUAGAAGCAGCGCAUCGAUAUUCGUCUAUGAAGAGACCGAGGCUACACUACAGGCGACAGGUUGUGUAGUCCGAUCAUUGUCCAUCGUUCAUCGCGAUAACUACUAGAGAACGUCCUUUACAAUGACGGAAUUUCACCGGUUUGAUCUUCUAGGACUUCAUCCACGAAACUGGCAGUUUUGCGCUGCGACGGAUUGACAGCUGGCAAAGAGUGAAGGAAUGACCGGGUCAAAGUCCCACUGCGUCCAAGUUACGCUGCCAUGCCCUAUAUAUAGGGUUUGCAUUUCCCCGCCUCUCCAUCUCGCGCUCUCUCUACUUCAGUCUCUCUUUUGUCUUCCAACUGCUUCAGAAUCGGGAGUUCGCUGAAUGACAAUGAGGAAUCGACGGGCAGCCAUUGUUUCUCGAUAUUCUUUGCAAUGAGAUGAUGAAGCGGUGCGAUAUCUUUUCGAUCAUUCUUCGGAGAAGCGUCGAUAAAUUUUUUGAGACAACGAAAUGGAACUGUUUGCUGAUCGAUGAAAAGACUGAGGCUAUACUACAAGAUGAUGAUCAUUGUUCCAGUUCGAGCGCAGGCCGGGAUCCUUUACCAGAAGCGACUGGCGUAGUCCGAUCGUUGUUCCUCUUCUUCGCGAUCACCACUGGCAUUUCGGUUGUGAAAGUUACAUUUUUAUCGCUCAACACAAUGGACCAUGAUCAUCAAUCACUCAGAUCACAAUGUCAAAUUUCUUCAGGGAUCGUCAGACUUUUAGGUGUUGCGAGAAUACAGGGGAAGGCUGAUGAUUGACUUAUUGUUGUUGCUGGUGCUGAAAGAGCAAGAGUGGAAUUGAUGUGGCCAGGCAAACCAUGGCAAGGAAUUGUCGAUUUGAAGCCAAUUUUCGGCCGUAGAUUGCUAAGGUGAGAUCCACUAAUCUUUUUGUGUACAAAAUUUGUAAGCUAGAAGUUUUUACGUUUAAAAGCUAUUUAGAUUUAUUACAAAACAACUCUGUAUUGUUAUUUUUUUCAUGUAACCAUAUGAAGUAGUAUUUUGGCAAAUAGAGAUUUUCUCAGUUAUCUUCUUGAACAUUUAACUUUUUUUAUGGGAGAACUACCAUCAAUAUCAAUUUCGAUUGGGAGAAGGAAUCUAUUGGUGAAAAUUCCUGUGGUUGGCCCUAGGUCAAAAAAUUAUUGGAGCAACCUAUUUGCUGUAGUAAAUAUCUCACGAGUUAUUGGACUAGCAAAUUAAGUAAGUUAGGCAAUACUUCUUGUUUUGGAACAUGAACAUUUGAUGGUUGGCAGAUUUAUUGGACUAGCGAAUUAUGUAAAUUAGGCAAUACUUCUAAUUUUGGAACAUGAACAUUUGAUGGUUGGCAGAUUUAUUGUAAAAAUAUGAAAUGAUUCCUUGUUGCUUUGGGCAUAUUUCUUUUAUGUUAAUUAGUUCAACAACUUUUUUGUGUAAUGUGUAUUUCUUGGAAGGAUUACAUUUAGGUUGGCGUAAGAGAAAUUCUCCAGGAGUGGAGUUGGAUUGCUCAGGAUUUUAGGGAGAUGGAGAUUUGUGUGAAGCUCAAAGGCAGAUUACCAUACCUUUGGAAGGCUCGAGUUUCAUGUCUCCAUUAGAAAUCAGAAAGUUUUGAGCCUUGGAUGUACUAGAGGAUAGAGUCGAAUCAUUACCACCUUUGCCAUAAUAAUCUACCAGGUCACAUUUUGUGGCUCAAUCCACAAAUGAUGCUACAAAUAAUUUCAAAAAUUGCUUAUAACGUUUAUCUUUCACAGCUUUUAACAUAUCUUCAGCAGAGUAUUGGAUUCGGUCAGUGAGAUAAUUGGAGUCAGAUUGAUGACCAGCACUUUCGGCUGCGGGAAUAUAGGUGUCUAAUGACAUGCCAAUAUGGUACUGGGCACAAUAACAUGCACAAUUCAAAUUGUUUAACCACUUCAUUCUAGCCACGAAGAAUCAAAUCAAAGAGCUUGUAUGAUGUUAGUGAUUAUGAUGGCAUCGGUAAUGAAACCUCUUUUUUCUUUUUUCAUUUCCUCUGUUUCUGUUUACUUUUGUUCAUUGUGCAGCAAUUAUUGAAGAUAUAUUUAGGUUGGCAUAACUAUAAGGGAAGUCUUCCAACUGUGGAGUUGGGUUGCCAAAGAAAAAUAUCUUUUAACUUCCAUUUUGCUGAAAAGGUUGAUCUUUUCCGUAUGCUACUUUCUUCUUCUUUUAAGUACUUGAGUUUGUGGCUACUACUUGUCAGGGCUUUACAUACCAAGUACUCACAUCUUCGCUUAACAAAAGCAUAGACGAACCUGAUUCCAAGAUGCUGAGAUAAGUAACUUUUUCCUUGUUCUCUUGCUACCUUUUUUAAAUGACUUGGAAUGCUGUUGUGCUUUUGAGCUGAUUAUUUAUGGACCAGUAAAGUUGACGUGGAAAUGUGACCAAAACAAAAUAAUUUCUACAUUUCUUAGUCUUCGUGCCUGAUUUCUCUACCAUGUUCUUGAACACAAUGAAAUUUAGUACAUUUCUUGGUCUACGUGCCUGACUUCUCUCCCAUGUCCUUGUCUAUUUUGUUAUACUUUUACAAGGUUAAAACAUAUUCCUUUAUAUUAGGAAGCACGGACACGUAAUUUAGGGGAGUGUCGGUGUCGGACACGCUUCCGACACGUGUCCAAUAUUUUUAUUUUUUAUUUUUAUACAGACACGUGCGUCUAGGACACGCGGGCGGCACGCGAAAUUCAUUUCCUUCCAUAUUCUCUCUUUCAGCCCACCAGCGCAUUAGGUUUUCCAUUUCUUUUUUAGUUUUUAACUACCCACAAGCCCAUCUCCACGAAAGCUUCUGCACCCAUGCAAAAUCUCCUCUAAGUCAGCCGUCCUUUUCUGCUACCUACGCUUAAUCUUCCUCCAAUUCUGGUUUCUCGCUUUUGGAUGAGUUGAAAGAAGAAGGGUCGAAAGAAAAAAAAGAAGGCGGAGUCGAAAUAAGAGUUGGGAAGAAUAGUAAGGAGUGCAUGCUAACAAGUGGCAAUUUUUUUGCAUGCAAUCUCUCCUUCAUUAUUAUGCAUGCAAUCUCUCCUCCAUGUCUAACAAACGGCAGUUUUUCACUUCUAAUAUUUAUGUCUAGGCAGUGCUUUUUUCCAAGACUAAAAGAUGAGAGGCCUUGUUUAAAUUUUAGUAAUAAUUCUGUUUUCUUACCAUAUCCUUUUUAUCUCUGCAAAUUCUCUUUUUUUUUUUCUUUGAAUAUCUUAUAGGUUAAAAUACUAGUUUGAUUUUUGUACUUUGU